AUGAACGCUGGCGGCGUGCCUAAUACAUGCAAGUCGAGCGAACGGACGAGAAGCUUGCUUCUCUGAUGUUAGCGGCGGACGGGUGAGUAACACGUGGAUAACCUACCUAUAAGACUGGGAUAACUUCGGGAAACCGGAGCUAAUACCGGAUAAUAUUUUGAACCGCAUGGUUCAAAAGUGAAAGACGGUCUUGCUGUCACUUAUAGAUGGAUCCGCGCUGCAUUAGCUAGUUGGUAAGGUAACGGCUUACCAAGGCAACGAUGCAUAGCCGACCUGAGAGGGUGAUCGGCCACCCUGGAACUGAGACACGGUCCAGCCUCCUACGGGAGGCAGCAGUAGGGAAUCUUCCGCCAUGGGCGAAAGCCUGACGGAGCAACGCCGCGUGAGUGAUGAAGGUCUUCGGAUCGUAAAACUCUGUUAUUAGGGAAGAACAUAUGUGUAAGUAACUGUGCACAUCUUGCCGGUACCUAAUCAGAAAGCCACGGCUAACUACGUG
rnacentral:rRNA from 1 species